rnacentral:rRNA from 1 species
AGUUCCGACCUGCACGAAUGGCGUAAUGAUGGCCAGGCUGUCUCCACCCGAGACUCAGUGAAAUUGAACUCGCUGUGAAGAUGCAGUGUACCCGCGGCAAGACGGAAAGACCCCGUGAACCUUUACUAUAGCUUGACACUGAACAUUGAGCCUUGAUGUGUAGGAUAGGUGGGAGGCUUUGAAGUGUGGACGCCAGUCUGCAUGGAGCCGACCUUGAAAUACCACCCUUUAAUGUUUGAUGUUCUAACGUUGACCCGUAAUCCGGGUUGCGGACAGUGUCUGGUGGGUAGUUUGACUGGGGCGGUCUCCUCCUAAAGAGUAACGGAGGAGCACGAAGGUUGGCUAAUCCUGGUCGGACAUCAGGAGGUUAGUGCAAUGGCAUAAGCCAGCUUGACUGCGAGCGUGACGGCGCGAGCAGGUGCGAAAGCAGGUCAUAGUGAUCCGGUGGUUCUGAAUGGAAGGGCCAUCGCUCAACGGAUAAAAGGUACUCCGGGGAUAACAGGCUGAUACCGCCCAAGAGUUCAUAUCGACGGCGGUGUUUGGCACCUCGAUGUCGGCUCAUCACAUCCUGGGGCUGAAGUAGGUCCCAAGGGUAUGGCUGUUCGCCAUUUAAAGUGGUACGCGAGCUGGGUUUAGAACGUCGUGAGACAGUUCGGUCCCUAUCUGCCGUGGGCGCUGGAGAACUGAGGGGGGCUGCUCCUAGUACGAGAGGACCGGAGUGGACGCAUCACUGGUGUUCGGGUUGUCAUGCCAAUGGCACUGCCCGGUAGCUAAAUGCGGAAGAGAUAAGUGCUGAAAGCAUCUAAGCACGAAACUUGCCCCGAGAUGAGUUCUCCCUGACUCCUUGAGAGUCCUGAAGGAACGUUGAAGACGACGACGUUGAUAGGCCGGGUGUGUAAGCGCAGCGAUGCGUUGAGCUAACCGGUACUAAUGAACCGUGAGG